GGGACACGUGGUAUCCUGUCUGAAUAUGGGGGGACCAUCCUCCAAGGCUAAAUACUCCUGACUGACCGAUAGUGAACCAGUACCGUGAGGGAAAGGCGAAAAGAACCCCGGCGAGGGGAGUGAAAAAGAACCUGAAACCGUGUACGUACAAGCAGUGGGAGCACCUUCGGGUGUGACUGCGUACCUUUUGUAUAAUGGGUCAGCGACUUAUAUUCUGUAGCAAGGUUAACCGUAUAGGGGAGCCGCAGGGAAACCGAGUCUUAACUGGGCGUUAAGUUGCAGGGUAUAGACCCGAAACCCGGUGAUCUAGCCAUGGGCAGGUUGAAGGUUGGGUAACACUAACUGGAGGACCGAACCGACUAAUGUUGAAAAAUUAGCGGAUGACUUGUGGCUGGGGGUGAAAGGCCAAUCAAACCGGGAGAUAGCUGGUUCUCCCCGAAAGCUAUUUAGGUAGCGCCUCGUGAACUCAUCUUCGGGGGUAGAGCACUGUUUCGGCUAGGGGGUCAUCCCGACUUACCAACCCGAUGCAAACUACGAAUACCGAAGAAUGUUAUCACGGGAGACACACGGCGGGUGCUAACGUCCGUCGUGAAGAGGGAAACAACCCAGACCGCCAGCUAAGGUCCCAAAGUCAUGGUUAAGUGGGAAACGAUGUGGGAAGGCACAGACAGCCAGGAUGUUGGCUUAGAAGCAGCCAUCAUUUAAAGAAAGCGUAAUAGCUCACUGGUCGAGUCGGCCUGCGCGGAAGAUGUAACGGGGCUAAACCAUGCACCGAAGCUGCGGCAGCGACACUAUGUGUUGUUGGGUAGGGGAGCGUUCUGUAAGCCUGCGAAGGUGUGCUGUGAGGCAUGCUGGAGGUAUCAGAAGUGCGAAUGCUGACAUAAGUAACGAUAAAGCGGGUGAAAAGCCCGCUCGCCGGAAGACCAAGGGUUCCUGUCCAACGUUAAUCGGGGCAGGGUGAGUCGACCCCUAAGGCGAGGCCGAAAGGCGUAGUCGAUGGGAAACAGGUUAAUAUUCCUGUACUUGGUGUUACUGCGAAGGGGGGACGGAGAAGGCUAUGUUAGCCGGGCGACGGUUGUC
rnacentral:rRNA from 3 species